CCCAAGUCCACCCCCACGUCCCCUCUCUAACUAAAGCGAAACGACCUAAACUCUGCCUGUCGUAACUGCGAUUUUGCAUUCUUUGCGCCUCUCUAGUGAAUUAGUCUUAGUGUUUGUUCUCCUUCUCAUGUUCGUCAUGCUACUCAGGAGCACUUAGGACAGGCUAGGAGAUAUGAGGAGGGAGAAGGCUAAGAAAGAAUCUAGAAGAUGAUGUGAAGAACCUGGCCUUGAAGAAAGUGUGGAGCAAGUAAAAGAAUAUAAAAUGUUAAAGAGCAAGUUGAAGCACAAGAGGACUUAUGUUAUGUUUGUCAGAAAUAUUUAAGGUCAAAUUUGAAAUCUAAUAUUUUUCCCUUGAAGAUGAGCGGCAGAGCAAGUUGAAGCGGUUGAAAUAUUAAAGAACAAGUUGAAUCCAAAGAGGAACUUACUUUAUUUUUCUGAGGGUUGUUUGAAGAUGUUGCCAUUUGUGCAUGCUGCAAUUCUUCUCUUCCUUUUUUGGAGUUGUAAAAAUAGUGUUAUACAAGUUGGAUGGUAUGUAUUUGGUUAUAUGAUUUUUAGUUCUUUGUAAUUUACAAUGAUAUUUAAUAUAAUUAUUGAGUAUUUUCUA